GGCCCCAUCGUCUAGCCCGGUUUAGGACACCAGAUUCUCAUUCUGGCGGCACGGGUUCGAAUCCCGUUGGGGCUG
rnacentral:tRNA from 1 species